rnacentral:rRNA from 1 species
UACGUAGGGGGCAAGCGUUGUCCGGAAUUAUUGGGCGUAAAGCGCGCGUAGGUGGUUUGUUAAGUUGGAUGUGAAAUCCCCGGGCUCAACCUGGGAACUGCAUUCAAAACUGACAAGCUAGAGUAUGGUAGAGGGUGGUGGAAUUUCCUGUGUAGCGGUGAAAUGCGUAGAUAUAGGAAGGAACACCAGUGGCGAAGGCGACCACCUGGACUGAUACUGACACUGAGGUGCGAAAGCGUGGGGAGCAAACAGG